rnacentral:rRNA from 1 species
UACGGAGGGCGCGAGCGUUAAUCGGAAUUACUGGGCGUAAAGCGCGCGUAGGCUGUUGUGUAAGUUGGGGGUGAAAUCCCACGGCUCAACCGUGGAACAGCCCUUGAUACUGCGCGACUUGAAUCCGGGAGAGGGUGGCGGAAUUCCAGGUGUAGGAGUGAAAUCCGUAGAUAUCUGGAGGAACAUCAGUGGCGAAGGCGGCCACCUGGACCGGUACUGACGCUGAGGCGCGAAAGCGUGGGGAGCAAACAGG